CUCAUCCAUCUGCUUCUGAGAAACUUCAAGACCACCAGGGGACUUGUUUGUCAAGGCUUGUUAAACAAUUUGUAAUCUUGAACAUGUGUUUCAGUAUAUUAACAAAUGAAUUGUUCAAAUUAACUUAGUGGGCAAGCCAGGAAAACCACAGUAAUCAAUCAAAUCCCGAGUCUGGGCAUCCAGGAACAGAAAUCUCCAAGAAAUAAUACAGCAAUAAAAUCAUAGCGAAGCUACGUGGGAGCCAAAUGAAUCCCGGAACGUUACAUAUAACCACGCAGCAAAGCGGGACUGUUGUUACGUAGUUAUGGUCCUCAUAGUGCGAAAUCACGUUGUGAUGUAUGUACCCUUAGCGGCGAAGAACCGCGGCAGACAGCCCCUAAUGCCUGCGCCUGUUCCUUUCUGAAUUGCUGGAAGGCUACUGCUGAGAUAAGCCUUUCUUUUGCUUUAGUCCCCUCUUCUCAGAUCUAAUUGUUAUCUCAGCAGUAAUCUUAUAUUAACUUCUGGGGAGCUGUUUGUGUUGAAGUCACGGCUAGCUUUAGUCCUAUCUAAUGGAUCUAUGGAAAAAAGAGGGAGAGGAAAGGAGAGAAAUGUAGUUUGAAGAUAGGAUACUACAUGUACCCUAUUGGAUUGGGUAAAAAUCAUGCAUUUGUUUUGUGGGAAGUACUGGCUCUUGUAUAUUUUUCCUCUUCCGGUGACGAUUCUCCAUCAUUUCUCUGGAAUGAAAACGUUGGGGGGAAAAGGAAAACCUGCUGUAUGAAAUGUCCAGUUUUCAAAAGUAGCCUUCUUGGUUACCCUGGGACAAUGAGGUAUACAUAUAUAUAUAUAUUUACUAAGUUCCUGCUACACCUACUGCUUAGACUUUCCCUUCUGUUACCUCUCUUGCUUUGCUCAAAACAAGAAUCAGAAUGGAUUUCUUGGAACCAAUCUGAAAAAAAAAUAAAAAGAAAGAAAAAAAGAACAGAAAGCCCAAGUCCCAGAAGGAGCAGUCAGGCAGAAAUGCUCCUGUCAAAGGGAAAUUACCGUAGAGGCAAGUAGAUAAUCAAUAGUAAUCAGGCUGGUGACUAAAAUACAGCAGUUUCCCUCAAGACUUGUGUUGUAUUCAUCUGCAGUGGGUCAGAGGCCAAGGCAGACAGAUUGCAACUGUGGUAAGCUUUUCAGAAAGGUCCAGGAAUGUGACAAAUUUGUAGUUUAUUAAUUGCUGGAACUUGUCACUAAGGCUGUGGUUGCUUACUGCAGUUUGCAGUCCAAGCAAAUGCAAGCAGGGGGGUUGCUCCUCCCUGUUUCACUGUGUCUGCAUUCCUGUUAUUGUCAGUUCAGGAAGCACAAAUGACAUCUGUCAGUUGUAUAUCCACAUGCAAGUUAUAUGGGGACUAGAUAUGGGGGAGGCAGUGAAAAGGAUUCUGGAAAGAACUGACAUAUAAAAUAAACUGAAGCAUAGAGGAUAAUUUCA
rnacentral:lncRNA from 1 species